UGGGCAUGGUCGGAGAAGGUGAAGAGCCUCCUUUGGUCAUGCCAAUGGACAAUAUUAUCAACUCUGCUAUUAGAAUAGUUUGGGGGUGUGCGAGGAGAGGAUUAAAAGAAAGGAGAUGGAGAGAUAGAAAUAUUUAAAAUGGUUAAAGAUAAAAAUAGUAAAAAAUGAUAGGUUUAUAAAGGAACUUCAUGGAAUCAAGAUUGUGAAUAAUCAUAAAAUUUAUCUGAUAAUUUAUAAUCCACAU
rnacentral:lncRNA from 1 species